rnacentral:rRNA from 1 species
CCUGUGAUCUGUAGCUGGUCUGAGAGGACGAUCAGCCACAUUGGGACUGAGACACGGCCCAAACUCCUACGGGAGGCAGCAGUGGGGAAUCUUGCGCAAUGGACGAAAGUCUGACGCAGCCAUGCCGCGUGAAUGAUGAAGGUCUUAGGAUUGUAAAGUUCUUUAGCCUGUGACGAUGAUGACGGUAACAGGAGAAUAAGCCCCGGCUAACUUCGUGCCAGCAGCCGCGGUAAUACGAAGGGGGCUAGCGUUGUUCGGAAUUACUGGGCGUAAAGCGCGCGUAGGCGGUUAUGCAAGCCAGAGGUGAAAUGCCUGAGCUCAACUUAGGAAUUGCCUUUGGAACUGCAUGGCUUUGAGGACGAGAGAGGUGAGUGGAAUUCCCAGUGUAGAGGUGAAAUUCGUAGAUAUUGGGAAGAACACCGGUGGCGAAGGCGGCUCACUGGCUCGUUUCUGACGCUGUAGCGCGAAAGCGUGGGGAUCAAACAGGAUUAGAUACCCUGGUAGUCCACGCUGUAAACGAUGAGUGCUAGGCGUUGGCACGCUUGCGUGUCAGUGCCGCAGCUAACGCGUGAA